AAGUCGUAACAAGGUUUCCGUAGGUGAACCUGCGGAAGGAUCAUUAUCGUAGGGCUUCGGCCCUGUCGAGAUAGAACCCUUGCCUUUUUGAGUACCUUUCGUUUCCUCGGCAGCCUCGGCUGCCAAUGGGGACCCCAAAAAACACUUUGCAGUACCUGUAACAGUCUGAACAAACAAACAAAAAUUAAAACUUUCAACAACGGAUCUCUUGGUUCUGGCAUCGAUGAAGAACGCAGCGAAAUGCGAUAAGUAGUGUGAAUUGCAGAAUUCAGUGAAUCAUCGAAUCUUUGAACGCACAUUGCGCCCUUUGGUAUUCCUUAGGGCAUGCCUGUUCGAGCGUCAUUUAAACCUUCAAGCUCAGCUUGGUGUUGGGUGACUGUCCGCCGCCCCCGGGCGCGUGGACUCGCCUCAAAAUUAUUGGCGGCCGGUACAUUGGCUUCGAGCGCAGCAGAAACGCGAACUCGGGCCCGUCGUAUUGGCUCCCAGAAGCUAUCUUCACAAUUUUGACCUCGGAUCAGGUAGGGAUACCCGCUGAACUUAAGCAUAUCAAUAAGCGGAGGAAAAGAAACCAACAGGGAUUGCCCUAGUAACGGCGAGUGAAGCGGCAACAGCUCAAAUUUGAAAUCUGGCUCUUUCAGGGUCCGAGUUGUAAUUUGUAGAGGGUGCUUUGGCGUUGACUGUGGUCUAAGUUCCUUGGAACAGGACGUCGCAGAGGGUGAGAAUCCCGUAUGUGGCCGCCAGUCUUCGCCGUGUAAAGCCCCUUCGACGAGUCGAGUUGUUUGGGAAUGCAGCUCUAAAUGGGAGGUAAAUUUCUUCUAAAGCUAAAUAUUGGCCAGAGACCGAUAGCGCACAAGUAGAGUGAUCGAAAGAUGAAAAGCACUUUGGAAAGAGAGUCAAAAAGCACGUGAAAUUGUUGAAAGGGAAGCGCUUGCAGCCAGACUUGCCUGUAGUUGCUCAUCCGGGCUUUUGCCCGGUGCACUCUUCUAUAGGCAGGCCAGCAUCAGUCCUGGCGGUUGGAUAAAUGUCUGCACAAUGUACCUCUCUUCGGGGAGGACUUAUAGGGCAGGCGGCAUACAACCAGCCGGGAUUGAGGUCCGCGCAUCUGCUAGGAUGCUGGCGUAAUGGCUGUAAGCGGC
rnacentral:rRNA from 1 species